CCGAUUUGGGAUUAAAUCGGCAGUGGACAGGGCCCUCCCGGGCAGCUCCAGCCACCUGUGGCAGCGCCCGGCGGCUGCGACGGCGGCCUCGGAACGCGGGAAGCCAGCGGCGCUCCAGAGUCAGCCGAGGGCUGCCGGCACCGCGGGAUCCCUGAACUCCCGUGCGGCCGCAGACUCCUGACCCCCGACACUCACGAGAAGAAAGGAUCAUCCUCGAAGCCGCUGCUCAGCAUCCUGAACAUUCUGGCUGUCUCGGCUGCGGCGGGCGCGGACUGGUUGGAAAACGGUGUAACUCGCCGCGGCCGCGGCCGGAGCCUGCCUCCUAGGAACCGUCGACGCUCCUCUCCCGGCCACGAAGGCGGUGCCCGCUGGGAAAGGCGGGGCGUGGACACCGAGCUGCUUUCCUAUUGGACGGCGGUCCCCGACGUCACUAAAGCGAGGCGGGGGAAACAAUGCGCCGCUGUCAUGGCAACCGCAAUCAACACAGUGGAGAUCUAACCCUCCACCUUGGGACACCAAGACACACUUGGAUGGCGCUAACCACAUGAUGGGAGACCAAGAAGGAAGAGGAGAGGAGAAAGCCCGCGGUCAAGGUCACGCAGCCAGCCAGAGCGCCCUCACUGGCGGCAGUGUGUCUCACAGCCAUGGGGCCCCACAGGGAGCUUGCCUCCAGCAAAGGGAGUGUCACCCCUGGGCUCCAGAUGAUUGCCCUGCAGAAAUUCAUGCCCACUGGCAGCCUCAAGGUGGAUUGCAAUCAUCGUGGCGUCUGCUCUAAGAGCUUGCCGUUCAAGUUGUUUACCGGCGCUGACCUCCCUGUCCAGUGUGGGCAAAACUAGCCUGUAAUAAUAGUAAUCCCUGACAUAACACAUCGAAGACCCGUAUGUCCACAUAAAAGAAUCUGUUCAACUAAACAGUUGGUGUGUCUGUCCAUAGCUGUAUACGGCGAGUCCGCUUUGUGGAAGGAAGAAAGUCACUCACAAGACAAUAUAGCUUCAUUUGGAAAGUGAAACGACGGGGAACAUCGAUUCACAAAAUUACAGUACUGCGAUUUUGAAUAAAGCUUCACUUAUCUGAAGGGUAGAGAGAGGGAGAAACAGAGAGGAAGAUCUUCCAUCUGCUGGUUCACUCC